UACAGAGGUCUCGAGCGUUAGUCGGAGUCACUGGGCUUAAAGCGUACGUAGGCGGAGAUGCAGGCGUCGUGUGAAAUCCCUUGGCUUAACCAAGGAACUGCACGGCGAACCGCAUCUCUUGAGACAAGUAGAGGCGGUCGGAACGAUAGGUGGAGUGGUGAAAUGCGUUGAUAUCUAUCGGAACGCCGAAGGUGAAAAACAGGCCGCUGGGCUUGUUCUGACGCUGAUGUACGAAAGCGUGGGGAGCGAACGGG
rnacentral:rRNA from 1 species